rnacentral:rRNA from 1 species
AGUGAACGCUGGCGGUAGGCCUAACACAUGCAAGUCGAACGGCAGCACAGUAAGAGCUUGCUCUUACGGGUGGCGAGUGGCGGACGGGUGAGGAAUACAUCGGAAUCUACUUUUUCGUGGGGGAUAACGUAGGGAAACUUACGCUAAUACCGCAUACGACCUACGGGUGAAAGCAGGGGAUCUUCGGACCUUGCGCGAUUGAAUGAGCCGAUGUCGGAUUAGCUAGUUGGCGGGGUAAAGGCCCACCAAGGCGACGAUCCGUAGCUGGUCUGAGAGGAUGAUCAGCCACACGGGAACGGAGACACGGUCCAGCCCCCUAGGGGAGGCAGCAGGGGGGAAUAUUGGACAAGGGGCGAAAGCCUGAUCCAGCCAUACCGGGUGGGGGAAGAAGGCCUUGGGGUGUUAAAGCCCUUUUGUUGGGAAAAAAAAGCAGCAGGUUAAAACCCCGCUGUUCUGACGGUACCAAAAAAAUAAGCACCGGCUAACUUCGU